GUAGGGGGCAAGCGUUAUCCGGAUUUACUGGGUGUAAAGGGAGCGUAGGCGGCAGUGCAAGUCAGAAGUGAAAGCCCGGGGCUCAACUCCGGGACUGCUUUUGAAACUGUACAGCUUGAUUGCAGGAGAGGCAAGUGGAAUUCCUAGUGUAGCGGUGAAAUGCGUAGAUAUUAGGAGGAACACCAGUGGCGAAGGCGGCUUGCUGGACUGUAAAUGACGCUGAGGCUCGAAAGCGUGGGGAGCAAA
rnacentral:rRNA from 1 species